GACAGAGGGUGCAAACGUUGUUCGGAAUUACUGGGCGUAAAGCGCAUGUAGGCGGCCACGCAGGUCGGAUGUGAAAUCCCUCGGCUCAACCAAGGAAGUGCAUUCGAAACCGCAUGGCUGGAGUCCCGGAGAGGAAGGCGGAAUUCUCGGUGUAGAGGUGAAAUUCGUAGAUAUCGAGAGGAACACCGGCGGCGAAAGCGGCCUUCUGGACGAGGACUGACGCUGAGAUGCGAAAGCGUGGGGAGCAAACAGG
rnacentral:rRNA from 1 species